AAUCACAGAGCUUCAAACACCCCACCCCCUACUUUUCCUUGCAACUUUCUUAUCAAUGGGAUUUGUUGUUUACAAACUACCGGUUUGAAAGGUUAUCCAAAGGUGUGUGUGUGAUUAUGGAAUUGCGCGGCUCUCUUACAAGCAGAAAAGCUAAAACAACAACAAACAAACAAAAAAAAAGUUUAUACUGUGAGGUCUGGAAGUAGAAUGAACUACUUUGUUACACUAACAUUUCAUAGUCAGUUUUUCGUAAUCAACAAUUCUGUUUUUGAUAUAUAAAAAAAUAAUAAUAUUGAGAAUUGUUGAUAUCAAAAAUUGUUGUUAAAAGGGGUUGCCAGACAAACACGCCAACAUCAAUCUGUUUUGAUGCACGUGUCUUCAUUGCUCAUCAGCUUUGGAUGUUUUGUAAGUUUUACUCAGGGGUUUUCCUUGGGUGUUUAAUGCUAAGUUAUGGCAACUAAAAGAUCGAUUUCUGUGCACUUUCAGGGCCACUGCGUUUUGAGGGGGGCGGUUUUCACGGUUACACAGAAACAUGUCUACCAGUGUUACACAGAGUAAUGUGAAGCCAGCAACAAUAUAAGCAACAGCAGCAACUUCUGGUAAAACUUAUUUCCGCAUCUUACUCCGCAAGUGGCAUUUUUUUUCCCCCAGAUGAGAGUGUCUCGUUACUCUCAUACAGCGGUUGUCUCUAACUACUGUCAAUCUGAGUUAACGGCUGAAGGAGAAAGAAGCAGUAAACAGAACAGCACACUUACCAAUUGGAAGAGAAAGAACAGCACAAAAAUAGCAAUAUUUCAAGUCUACAAUAAAUAGUCCGUACAAGAAUCGUUUGUGAAGACGGUGCUGUUGACUUCCACAAUGAGACGAAAAAAAUGUAAAAUACAUGAAGUUGGGUAUUUUGUACUCCGUCUCAGGCAAGUACAACAACAACUAACGGUACAGUUGAUAUUUUGGACAACUCCACUGCAAACCAUGAUUAAAUUGAUCUGGCUAAACUGCUGGGCUCUGUGAGUAGAUUUGCAAGUGCUGGAUUGUGUGCAUUUCUAAAGAGAAUUGCCCGGAGGCCUCCAUCAACCAUCGACACACUUCAGAAAGACAAAUAUUGAAAGAUUUGAAGGCUUGUGUUGACGUCAGGGCCGGGCCUGUGUUCUGGCAGCAGAUGAUGGUCACAGAGACGCUGACAGGGGAGCCCAGUGUGCCAGAGUGGCUUUCAAUUCACCCGUCUCAUGAGAACCGUGCAGAGCAGCUGGACCGGCUAAUAACCCAGGCUCUGAAACUCCGGGACAGCUGUAAUUGCCCUGCUCUGCCUGCGGAAGACCCCCGUUCUGUGUUCCUGCAGCGCGUCAAGCUCCUGUUGCCACAGGUCCCAGUGGAAGAGAAGGAGGCAUUUAUCGAUACAGCAUUUACACCACGGCGAGACACGAGACACAAGCACACUCGGUGUCCGAACCACAGUACCUGUCGUGGUCGUCCUGACUCAGUCACUUAGCGUUUUUUUUUUUUAUGCAUGUAACUGUUUUUUUUAGAAUUUAUGUGCCCUUAACAAUGUCUGAUAAGAGCAGUGGACUCAAAACAAAACCUAAGCUGUAAACUUAAGCUGUGACAUGAUGAGGGGCUUAAUUUCAGGGGAUCGUAUGUCCGGCUAAGAGUACCGCAUACGCGCCCUGAAAUAAAUGGCCUGAGUGUAAAGAGUUAAGUAAAUGUUUGCAUGAGUACAAUAUAACAGGCAAUUUUUAUAAAAAAUAUAUUAUCUGGCCAAAGUGUCAGGAACGUAACCCCAAUUUAUAACAUUGUUCCUAUGAGAACAUGUGCUUUGACUUACGACGCUCCAAUUUACAACUGGACUUUCGGGAACCAACUGUGUUGUAAGUGCGAGGACUGCCUGUAUAUAUGAUUGGGUACAUUGGGAUUAUUUGGCUGUGUAACCAUAUUAAAAAAGAGCUAUUUUAUUUUAUUCUGUAUGUGUUUUUGUUUAAAGGAAAUACAUUUAUUACAAAUUGAAUAAUACAACAUACGCACACAUACAGCUGCAGGAACAUAAUUACAUUGUAGGGAAACUAGUCAAAAGGCAUGGUUUGUAUUUUUUAAAUGAAACAAGCUGCUUGUAUCAUGACUCGUGCUACUCUGCACAUUUUAAAUAAUAUUUUGUAAUCCGUGCCAGUCUGUAAACCCAUUAUCAUUUUUUUAAAUGAGAUUCAGCUUGUUUGCUGUGCGGAAGUUGGUUUUCAUAAUACCUGUUGCUGUGUAGUUAAAUCAGUUGGUGCCUGUUUAUUCAUUCUUCUUUCAUUUUGCUGAAUAUUAGCUGUUGAGACACCUUGUUGGCAGUGCAUUUUGUUUACAUGCUUCCUUGGCAGUUUGAGCUGUAGGGGGAAUUCUAUUUGCCGCUGUGUCGCAUGGCAAACUAAAAAUGAGAACUUACGGUUAUGAUGUUGUAUUGAGCAACAAAUCUAGAAGUGACUUUGAAUCCUAACUUGUUGAAAUUAGAUUGCAGGAAACGCGCUGACCUUGAAAAAAGUAAAAAUAGCCUACAUUUAUUUUAGAUCAUAGAAUUUGAGUGAAACUGGAAUAAAAAUGUGUUUUUGGGUCAGUUGAUGGUAGGCAUUGCGAUCCCUCCUCUGUGAGUAGAAACACAUUGCCUUAACUGUUAGCAAGGGAGAAUAGUGUGGCUCUGACUGCACCAGCACCAUGGCUAGGGCUGUGUGACUGUCAAUGGAGCAUUUAUUCAGUAUAGCAAACAAGCCAGAAUAGUAAGCUUAUAGAAAAGCUUAGAAAAAUAUAUAUAUAAAAUCAAUGCAGUAAAGCAAAAGUUUUUACUUUGAGGAGAUGCAACAACAGCUUUGAGUGAAUGAUCAGUAUUGGUGCUUCCACAGCAAUGCUGUCUGCACUGGAACCUGAAUUGACAGGCGUUUUGCACUCUUCAGAAAAUCAGCCGUACGCAGCUGCCAUGCAUGAAGGAUACCCUCAGACCGCUAGCUUGGUUAGUACAGUAGUUGGUUGGUGCUGGUGCUACUCAUUUAAAUACCUCUUAAUUGUGCAGUGUGGAGUAGUGGUUAGGGCUCUGAACUCUUGACCGGAGGGUCGUGGGUUCAAUCCCCAGUGGGGGACACUGCUGCUGUACCCUUGAGCAAGGUACUUUACCUAGAUUGCUCCAGUAAAAACCCAACUGUAUAAAUGGGUAAUUGUAUGUAAAAAUAAUGUGAUAUCUUGUAACAACUGUAAGUCGCCCUGGAUAAGGGCG